CCUACGGGGGGCAGCAGUGAGGAAUAUUGGUCAAUGGACGAGAGUCUGAACCAGCCAAGUAGCGUGAAGGAUGACUGCCCUAUGGGUUGUACACUUCUUUUAUAUGGGAAUAAAACGUUCCACGUGUGGGAUUUUGUAUGUACCAUAUGAAUAAGGAUCGGCUAACCCCGUGCCAUCAGCCGGCGUAAUAAGGAGGGUCCGAGCGUUAUCCGGAUUUAUUGGGUUUAAAGGGAGCGUAGGAGGAUGGUUAAGUCAGUUGUGAAAGUUUGCGGCGCAACCGUAAAAGUGCAGUUGAAACGGGCAGUCUUGAGUACAGUAGAGGUGGGCGGAAUUCGUGGUGUAGCGGUGAAAUGCUGAGAUAUCACGAAGAACUCCGAUUGCGAAGGCAGUGCACUGGACUGCAACUGACACUGAGGCUCGAAAGGGUGGGUAUCAAACAGGAUUAGAUACCCGAGUAGUC
rnacentral:rRNA from 1 species